rnacentral:rRNA from 1 species
GAUGAACGCUAGCGGAAGGCUUAAUACAUGCAAGUCGAGCGGUAGGUGGCUUCGGCCAUUGAGGGCGGCGCACGGGUGAGUAACGCGUACAUGACCUGCCUGUCAGAAGGGGAUAGCCCUGGGAAACUGGGAUUAAUACCCUAUGGUAUUGAUAUUAUGAAUGAUAUCAAUUAAAGUUGAGGCGCUGACAGAUGGAUGUGCGUCUGAUUAGCUAGUUGGUAGGGUAACGGCCUACCAAGGCGACGAUCAGUAGGGGGCGUGAGAGCGUGGUCCCCCACACGGGUACUGAGACACGGACCCGACUCCUACGGGAGGCAGCAGUAAGGAAUAUUGGUCAAUGCCCGCAAGGGUGAACCAGCCAUUCCGCGUGGAGGAUGAAGGCCCUAUGGGUUGUAAACUUCUUUAGAUGGGAAGAAAAUGCUAGAUGUAUCUGGUACUGACGGUACCAUCAGAAUAAGCACCGGCUAACUCCGUGCCAGCAGCCG